rnacentral:rRNA from 1 species
UUGGAGGGCAAGUCUGGUGCCAGCAGCUGCGGUAAUUCCAGCUCCAAUAGCGUAUAUUAAAGUUGUUGCAGUUAAAAAGCUCGUAGUUGAAUUUCGGGGUCAGCAGGUUGGUCGUGCCACUGGUAUGAACCGGCUUCGCUGAUUCCUCCUUUCUGAAGAACUGUAAUGCCAUUAAUUUGGUGUUGCAGGGAAACAGGACUGUUACUUUGAAAAAAUUAGAGUGUUUAAAGCAGGCUAACGCUUGAGUACAUUAGCACGGAAUAAUGAAAUAGGACGUUGAUCCUAUUUUGUUGGUUUCUAGGAUUGACGUAAUGAUUAAUAGGGAUAGUUGGGGGCAUUAGUAUUCAAUUGUCAGAGGUGAAAUUCUUGGAUUUAUUGAAGACUAACUUCUGCGAAAGCAUUUGCUAAGGAUGUUUUCAUUAAUCAAGAACGAAAGUUAGGGGAUCGAAGACGAUCAGAUACCGUCGUAGUCUUAACCAUAAACUAUGCCGACUAGGGAUCGGACGAUGUUAAUUUUUUAAUGACUCGUUCGGCGCCUUACGGGAAAC